UUCUUCCUACGGGGGGCAGCAGUGAGGAAUAUUGGUCAAUGGGCGGGAGCCUGAACCAGCCAAGUCGCGUGAAGGAAGAAGGUACUUAGUAUUGUAAACUUCUUUUGUCGGGGAACAAAGGCGGAGACGCGUCUCCGGAUGAGUGUACCCGAAGAAAAAGCAUCGGCUAACUCCGUGCCAGCAGCCGCGGUAAUACGGAGGAUGCGAGCGUUAUCCGGAUUUAUUGGGUUUAAAGGGUGCGCAGGCGGGAGAUCAAGUCAGCGGUAAAAGCCCGGGGCUCAACCCCGGCGAGCCG
rnacentral:rRNA from 1 species